UUACGGCCAUAUCACGCUGAAACACCGUAUCCCGACCGAGCACUGAAGUUAAGCAACGUUUGUACUUAGAUGGGUAACAGUGUAGGAAUACCAGCUGUUGUAGG